rnacentral:rRNA from 1 species
AUAAACGCUGGCGGCGUGCUUAACACAUGCAAGUCGAACGCAGUUUUUCCUUCGGGAGAAACUUAGUGGCGGACGGGUGAGUAACGCGUGGGUAACCUGCCCUGUACAGGGGGACAACAGCUGUAAACGGCUGCUAAUACCGCAUAAGCCCUUAGCACUGCAUGGUGCAUAGGGAAAAGGAGCAAUCCGGUACAGGAUGGACCCGCGUCUGAUUAGCCAGUUGGCAGGGUAACGGCCUACCAAAGCGACGAUCAGUAGCCGAUCUGAGAGGAUGUACGGCCACAUUGGGACUGAGACACGGCCCAGACUCCUACGGGAGGCAGCAGUGGGGAAUAUUGCACAAUGGAGGAAACUCUGAUGCAGCGACGCCGCGUGAGUGAAGAAGUAUUUCGGUAUGUAAAGCUCUAUCAGCAGGGAAGAAAAUGACGGUACCUGACGAAGAAGCACCGGCUAAAUACGUG